UGAACCCUUAACCCUCGAUUCAAUUGCCUUA
rnacentral:piRNA from 1 species